AAUAAAUAAAUAAAAAAGUGCGUUGUGAAAGUGAAAGGGGUUUUGGACAAUAAUAAUUCAAUUGGUAGGUUUGUUUGUGAUGUGAAGAUUCCUGGAAAUGGGUGGAAAUACAUAAAUAUCUGUCUUACGUGGCUACCUGUUUUGGAUCUGAACGAGAACGGUCGUAUUUGCUUUUGGUCUUAUAGAUAGAUUCUGUUCUGUGUUAGACUAUAAUAAUAAUGAUUGAAAUUAAAAUUUGCAGAAUUGUUGUUUUUCUUUCUAUUAUUUCCAAUUAAAGAAAGAAACAAAACGUAUAAAAAACUUUAAAACGCAGACAAAGACUACAAAUUAGAAAUAGAAACUUUAGAAUAGAGUGAGGUUAACAAUACCUCUUUGAUAAAUUAGAAUAAGGUGAGGUUAUGUUGCAUAGUUGCGGGUACGGUAUCAAUAUCUGGUACCGGUAUGUGGUAUGACAUUUUUAAAAAAAUUAGGGUACGGGUACGUUCGUAUAUUUUUUUUUAAUAUAGUUAUAUUUUUAAAAUAAUAAAAUUAUAUUCUUAAAACAAAUAAUUAAACAUAAAAAGUAGCGAUUUUUAAAAAUAGUUAUAUUAUGGUUUACAAGUUUAGGAAAUUAGGAUUAGUAGUAUUAUGCUGCUACACUUUUAAAAAUAAAUAAAAAAAAGGAAGGAGACUGAAUCGAUUCUAAUUUUAAACUAAAGUGAAUCUUUAUUAAAAAAAUAAACAAAUAAAAAAAGAAUAGGAUUGAAAAGUGUUGCAAANNNNNNAAUAGUUUUUGAUGAAAUAUGUACCACGUAUGUACCCUGAGAGUACCACGCGCGUACCCCGGAAGUACCACGUGUGUAUCCGCAUGAAAAAACAAAAAAAAACUCGGUACUUUGAGGAUACGUACCAUGGAAGUACCAUACGCGUACCGGUACUCUGUCUAAAACAAAGUACCGGUGCAACAUAGGGUGAGGUAUAACGAGAGGUACUGUAAAUUUUUAAUCAAUUUUGUCUACAAAUCUUAUCCGAGUUUAUAAAAAUAUUGAAAUUGCUCGGUCAUAUAUUAUGAUUGGUAAUUGGAGUUCGAACUCUAAUUUUUUAUUUUGUGUGUAUUUCUAAUGAAUCGUCUUUUCAUUUAUCUAUUAAAAAAUUAAAAAAAAUAAUUUAAUCAAUUUUUACCUCAUAUGCGUAUUAAUUGUUGAAUAAAUACUAAUACUUAUAAAUUAAAUUCAUAAAUUAUUAAAAAGUAGUCUAAAAAGUCAUUGCGAUUAAAUAAAAAAAGUACAAAAUAGUUUCGUGAACUUAACUUAGUUGACAUGAUAUUUUAGUAUAUAUGAGGGCCGAAUUCCAACUCCGAUCAUCGGAUGAAAUUUUUUGUUACCGAAAACUACUUAAAAAAAAAAUACAAAAUGAAUAAACUUUGUACAACGCUUAUUUAGAAUAAUUAGAUGAAUAUUUUAUUUAUUUAGGGGUCAUACAUAUAACAUCCACUGGCAACGACAGAGAUAAAAUUGAAUACUGUCCUAACUCCUAAGUUUGCUAAUAUUGACCAUUACAUUUACUACUAUAUACUGUCUUAUAGACCAAUCGCUCAAAUACUUCUUUCGUGUGUAUAGUAUGAGUGAGACAUAUUAGCAACUGGUACCAUACAAAUUUGAUCCUGCCUUUAGUUUCAAAGUUAUCUUUGACCAGUUUCUAAGCAAGUGUUUGGACCCGAGUUGGACGUGAUUUUGGUCAAAUUCCAAGCAUAUUAUUCUAUCCGUAACACUUUAUAAGUAAAAAUCCAUUUUAUAGGUUCAUUGUAUAUUUAAUAUAUCUGACAUAUAAUAUUGAUCAAAUACAUUAAAUAUAUAAUGAACCUAAAAAACACAUUUUUGUUUAUAAAGUUUUACGAAAUAAGUAUACUAUAUUAGUCCUAGCUAAAUACUAGUACACACAAAGAGCCUUUUAGAUUGUGCCAUAUCUCCGCGGUUCACCAUCACAACCAAUUGGUCAAAAGAGGAAGUGAAAACUGUGGUUAUUGAAUUCAGGGACAGAACCAGAAAAAAUUGUGAAAGAUAACGAAAAUUAUAUAUAUUAAUAACAAACAUGGGUGAAGAUAAUAUAAAGGAGGAUCUUUCGGGUUGAAACCUAGCUAAAACUCGUGUAUUCUAUUUUUUUUUUUCACAAAUUCUUGUGAUUCUCCAUCAUAAAAAUAUGUUAAGGAAUAUGAUGAUCAGCAAAAGGAGUUGAUUAGGUUGAAGUGUAAAGCUAAGCUUAAGGGUGAAUUUUAUGUUAGAUUCUGAAAUUAAACUCUUGUUCACUAUCAGGAUCAGAUGUUGUGCCAUAUUCAAUAUCCUCGAUAACGAUAAUAUUAGGCACACUAUGAUAUACUCCUUCCGGUUCUUAAUAUAAGAGGAAGUUCAUUUUUUAGAUAAAUUGAAAUAUUGAUGAAUCUAGUUUAUAUACAUCAAUAUUUCAAUGUAACUAAAAAGUAAAUUUUUUCUUAUAUUAAGGAUCGAAGAGUAUUAAUGUAUGCACUAUUCUAACUUUUACUCACUUCAAUCUUAUACCAAUUUAAGUGUUGAAAUAUUUGGAGGUAAGGUACAUAUUUCACCAUUGACCAUCAUCUCCAUCUGAAAUUAUCACUUCCAAUCUAUAUUCCACUUGAAAAACCUCUUCAACAGAGCAUUUCUUUCGCAAAUCAAAAUAAAAACUUCCCACAAACUUUCUCUCAUGAUCACAUGCUAAACCCUCACAGAUAUGCUUUCCUUUGUUUGGAAGAUUUAUCAAUAUUGAGCUUUAAGACAAUUGUUGGAAUCAAGACCCUCUACAUUUUUCCUCCUCUCUAUUUUUUACUCUCCAUUUUUGUCGACCAUUACUAAAACUUUAAAAAAGUAAAUGCAAUGAUGUGGUAUUUGAUAGGUUUAAUGAUUUAAAUUUAAUAUAUAUCCUAAGGUUCAGUUUGAUAAAAAAAUUUGUUUGAUAAAAAAUAGCGGAUCAACUUAUAGCGAAUAACUUAUAAGCUAGUUUUUAGCUUAUAACGAAUAACCUCGAAUAACCUAUCUGAUUGAAUUUGUAGUGUGUGAUAAAAUUAGCGGUUAAACGAGCUUAUAAGUAUGAAAUAACAUAAAAAAAUAUAUAUUUAAUUAAUAUUUAAUUUUUUUCAAGAAGAUGUAGGGGUAAAAUUGGAAGAAAAAAUGACAAGUUAUAAGCUCAUAAACUACUUGAAAUAAGAUUUGAAAAAUAAGCUAUAAGCUAGUAAUAUAAGCUAUAAGCUUUUUUUAAAAAACUAUUAUCAACCAUAGCUUUUUUUAACCAAAUGACCUUAUAAGCUAUAAGCUAGCUUAUGUGUCUUCUCAAACAAAGCUAAACUCUAUAAAAUAUAGUGAUAGAGAGGGAAAACUAAUUAAAGCUCUGUUCGGGAAGGCCAAUAAACUAGUUUAUAGCUUUUAACUCUGUUUGGUAACAUUUUUUAAAAAAGAUCUUAUAGCUUAUUUUUCAAACGCUAUUUCAAGUAGCUUAUGAGCUUAUAACUUAUCAUAUUUUAUUCCAAAUUUACCCCUAUCAUCUUAGUUAAAAAAAAUUAAAUAUUAAUUAAACAUAUUUUUUAUGUGAUUUCAUACUAAUAAGCUAGUUCAACCGCUAAUUUUACCAAACACUACAAAUUCAAUCAACUAGUUUAUUCGUUAUAAGCUAAAAGCUAGUUUAUAGACUAACCGCUAUUUUUUUACCAAACAGAACAUAAGAAAAAAAAAAAAAAUUUUUUUUAUCUCACAUUAUUUUCUUUUUUUCUUUUUUUCAAAGACCUUGUUAGGCAUGGACAGUAUGCUAGAGACUAACAAGUGCAAUAGUUUUUUUUGGUAAUAGACGAACUAACAAGUUGAAUAUGAUAAAACAUUAGAAGCUAGACAGAAAAAUAGAGUAAAAAAAACCAGAAAAAUAUAACAAAUAUUAAAAACUAUUUUUUAUUUUCUCUUUAUUAACACAAAUUUUAAUACAUAAAAAUAGAAAACAAUUUCACAAAAUAAACGAUUCUAAUUGGGCUUAGUUUUUCUAAAUGAAGAGCCCUCUAAAUUUCUUCCAUAUAAACCUUAAUAUAAAAUAAAACUCUUAACGACAAAGAAUAAAAUAUUUUCCGUAAAAAAAAAAGGAAUAAAAUAUUUGGUACCCUUAAAAAACUAGUGAUUUGUGGCGACUACAUACCUUAAACAUGUUCAUGAUCGUCAUUGCAUUUACAAUAUGUUAUAUAACUAAUUAUUAAGUUGAUAAUAAAAUUUAAGGUCUAGAUUAGAGUUCUUUGAAAUGGACGACUCCAAAUAUUAAAUUUGAGUUUUUCUUUUAUUCCAAAGAUGGUUAGUUAAUUUAUUUGUAAUGUUCAAAUUUGAAUGAGGAUAUGUUAUUACUUAAAGUAAUUUAACAUGUAAUUAGUCAAACUAAGUGACGAUGUGAACAAAGUAGUGUUAGGAAAUAUGUAGUAAAAUAAAAUCUUUGCUUUAACUCAAGAAUAUUCUACAUGUCAAUUUUUUUGACACAAAGGUAUUGUGCAACAUUAGCUAAUGUUUGUUUAGUUUAUCUAAUUGGAAUAAUGAAGAAAUUUACACCCUCUUUUCUGUCAUAAUAGAUGACUGUUUGUGUUUUAUUUUUUAAAAUAAAAGAUAGAAUGAAGAUUUAUCAAAGUUUCAAAGUGAGAAAUUGAUACAAAGUAGGCCACCUUUCUCCAUUGAAUAUGGAUGGGCAAAUACGACCCAACAACUAGUAUUCUUUAACAAGAAGGCCCAAAGGAUUGUAAUUAUUAUUCACAACUUACAAGUAAAUUAGUACAACCAAAUUCAGCAGUCAUCCAUGUAUUUAAAUAAAAAAAAAUCAAUAUUUUUUUAACGUCAAAUAUAUUAUUAAUAAUAAUCAUGUUUCUGCACAAGACGAACAAAAUCCUGUAAAAUGGAGCUACAAAACAGAGACACCAUAUUUAAGCGGAACAUCAAUGAAAAUACCAGACACCACCUAAUAUGGUCCACUUCUAAUCUCAUUUUUAGAAAGACAUUCCUCAACUUCCAGACUACAAGAGAAGACAUCAACCCGACCCAUAGAGAUGCUACUAGACACUAACUCCCGAUCUCGAAUCAAAAGUGACUGACCUGCCAGAAUCCAAAAAACAGCUCCUUGAGUCAAAAUUUGAUGGAACACCGGUAGAAAAAUAAUCUAGAUAGAUAAAUCUUAGCUCGCACACUACGUCCAAAUAGUCCAUUAACAUUAUUACACAAAAUGGACACAUAUAUGCUACCAAUUUUUCUUAUAUAGGUAAAAUUUCUAAUAGAGGCUUUAGUGACAUAUAUAGAGAGUAUAAUUGUUAAUCAACAACACGUGAUAUAAGUGAUAAAUACUUAAAUCUAUCGAUUAUUUAGUCAUGAGUUGUCUCUACACUUAGGGGCAGUAGUGUUAAUCACAUAUAUCUCAAAUUACUAAUAAUAUUUUGCCGUAAAAAAAAAAUAUAAAUUAUGUUCUUCCCCAAACUAAACAAACCAAAUCACAUUUCCACUCCCUUCUCUUUUAAGUAAAGGUCAAUCCAAGGUUGUCAAGUCAAUCAUCUUAUAUACCUCCUAAAAAAUAUAAAACUUGUCCUUAGUUAAAAUAUCUAGACCAAGCACAAAGUGUUCAAAAUAUAGAUCAAGAAAGUAUAUAAGCAAUAAUACAUCAGCAUAUAUAAAACAAAAUACUAGCAGAAAAUACAAAAAACUCUACAACAGUAUCAAAGGCACCACACACUUGACAUCUAAAAUUGACUUAGACUCCUUCAAAAAAAUCUCUAAUUGACUCUUUUUCUUUUGAAACAAAAAUCUAUAAUUGACUUAGACACCAAAUUACUCCUAGAUUGAUUGGUAAUCCAACAAAGCCGCUAGUAAGAACAUCAUUAUUUUUUAUCUAUGUAUUUAUUUACAAAUAGUUAAAAAUAUCAGUUUAUUUUAUAUGUGAUCACCCUUUUAAUUAAGUUAUAUGUCCCUUGUUAUUUAUAUAUUUUUUCAAAAAACAUUAAGUUAUUUAAAUAUCACUCUCUUUGCAUUUUUGUUGUUGUUGUUGUUGUAAACUCAAUAAUAAUUCAUUCAUAAUAGGGAGUAGUUUGGAAAAAUUAUAGCAGGAAACACAAAAAAAAAAUUGUAAAAGGACUACACAAGAUAUGAAUGCAAUGUUUGGAAAAAUAAGCCUUUUUAACCAAUUAACGAACCAAACCAAUGAAGAUAAUUUCAUUGGUUCAAACAUUUUUUUAACUAAAAAUCGGUCUCAACCGAUCGAUUACACCUCUAAUUUUUUCACAUCUAAAUAGAUAAAUAUGAUGAUAAGCGAUUCUUAAAGAACAAUGGAAGGUGAGUAAAAAAAAAGGAAGGGUCUUGCUAACAAGUUCCUUUGGAGCACUUGUUAAAAAUUAAAAGGGAAAUAAUAGAAAAAUUAUGCAUUGAAUAAACUAAAAUUUAAACUUCUAAAGUGUUAACUAUACAAAUUUCAAGAAAAUAUUUUUAAAUUUAAAUUCUUAACAAGUGGGUACUUCUUAGUAUUUCGAAAGAAUAAGAUGAUUUCUCUUUUCAACCCCAAAUUUCUCUUUUCGUGCAAAAAACUUCGAUCUCUUUCCACCCCCAAGUGGGGUAGUUCUUAAUUUUGCUCGAAAAGAAAAACUUGGGAGUAGAGAGAAACCAUCAAAGAAUAAUGGGAGAGGUGGGAAAAGAAGCUCCUUCCAAUUAACAUAAUAAUGGGCUGCUAAAGCCCAUUCAAAAUUUAGACUACUUGGGGAGAAAUUUUUGAACUAUAUAGCUCAACAUAAAAAACCAUGUGAAUGUGGAUGUUCAACAAAACAAGGGGCUAAGGAAGAUAAUUGACUUUCUUGCUCUAGGUAACUAGGUUGUUUUGUAUAGUUCGAUUCAACACGAGGCAUACAUGAGGCAGCCAAAGGUUUCUAAGCUCAUGUUUGAACCCACAUAUGCUAACAUGAGGAGUGCGUCAAUGUUCAUGUGGCAAGAUAUGCUGGUGUAGUAUGUGAGUCACUUUCAUAUGUGUGUUGAUAGACUAAAAUUUAGAGGUCAAAAGUGCUAUUAUGAAAGUUAGUAGACAAAAAUCUCAAGUUUACGAAAGUUAGGGAAAAAAAAUUCAAUUUAAACUUGUAUUAAACAAUUUGGGUCUUGUAUGAUUUUGAUCUUUAUAUUUUCUUUUCUGUCUCUUUGUAAACUCUGGUAGCCUAUCUCGGCACAUCUUGUGCUGAGGAGACUGUUUUUAGUUAAUAUAUAUCUCAUUUUAGCUUCUUCAAAAAAAAAACUUAUAUUAAACACAAGGUGAGAGAGGUAUUGGACCGGAGUUUGCAAGGAAUUUUUUAUUUUUAAAUCAUAAUUUUUUUUUCAUACUUUUCACUAUUUAUUACGUACCAGUACCGGUAUUCUUUUAACAUUUUUCAUGCUAUUGUGAAAAAUGAUUUUAUAAAAUUAGUCAUAUUUUAAUUUUCCGAUACAAAAUUAACUAUAUUUUUUAAUUUGUAUAAAAUUAUUAAGGUAAUUUAUAAUUUGAGAUGAAAGUAGUGGUAUAUAUAUUGUAAGAGAACGUUGUUAAUUUUGCUUGACAAAUUGACAUAAUGGCAACUGAUCACAUGAACAAAUACAUUUGUAUCUAUCUAACUAGAACAAAUACAUUUGUAUCUACAACGUACCUAAUACAUGCAUGCAUGUCUCUGAAGCUAUAAUGCCAAAUUGGGAAGUAUUUACACAAAUAUCAGAGUUUGUUGUGGCAGCUCUUGUUAUCAAUGCAGUCCACUCAAUUCAAUGGUGAUAUGUUGUACUAAUUGUUCUAUAUAUAUUGGUUAUCAAAUUUGUUCUGUUUAACACUUAAAUUUUAAAAUUCUUUUCUAAUUUCGUUAAUUUUAAAGCAUCGAUCUAUACAUAUAAAAUGAUAUAUAAUUUUUUCAAACACACAUAAUUCGUAUCCUAAACAUCUGAAACUUGACUUUCAAAUGGUCCCAUAACACAUGAGACCAAAUGAAUGUUGUAUGAACUUUGAUAUCGUUACAAAAUCAAAUGUGAAAAUCGCACCUCAUUUAUAAACACAUUACACUAAUUGCUUUAACUAUAUAUAAUAUACAAUUAGGCUUAUUCUAUGCACAUUAGACUGAGCAAUUGAAUGGUUAGACAAGUUGCUUAGUUAAAGGUAAAUUGGCCGUACAUUUUCCAGAGAGCAACUUGCUAAAGCUAUCAUACCUAUCUAAGGUAGCUUAGCUGUAUAACUACAUAUAUAUAUCAAGCACAAUUCAAUGGAUCACUCUUUAUUUCUGUCCAUAUAUUACGGUUCCCAUUGAAUGAGCUUGUUUUCUCAUCCAACUUGACAUAUCAAAAAUGAAAAUUAGCAAAGAUUGAAUUCAUAUAGAUAUUCCAAUUUUAGUGUUUCUUUGCGCAUGGAUGUGUGGUCACUGGUCACUGGUCAGUGGCAAUAUAUUCCAAAGAUGAAUAGUGAUUAAUUGCUUAAGUUUCAAAUAAGCUCUGACAUUACACCAAACCAUGAUCUAAUAUGGUUGUUUUACAUCACAUUAAUCCUCAAUUGGACCACUUGUGAAUAUAAUUAUUGAAGCAAAUUGGUUUUAGGUGAAAAUAAUAGUACAUGCAUGCAUGUAUGUAAUAUAACUAACAACCAUAUAUAGAUUGAUGAAAUGUAGUGUAUUUAAUCAUAAAACCAUGGGCCAAAGGAAGGAAUUGCUAUAUAUUCUUACAUAACAUUAAACGAAAACCAACAACUAUAUAUGUAAAGAUGGAUAGUACGUACAGACAGAACAUUAACUAUUUGAUAAAAUUCAUCAAGCUACCAAUUUUUUUGUCUAGUUCUCAGGGGAAGGGGCCCUCAAUUGGUCACGAGAUAAGUAAAAUCUGAUAAAAAAUUGUUUCUACUAAAAGUUAAAUUCGAAUUCUUUCGAACGAUUCGUCCUAGAGGAACUCAUUAGAUAACACUAAUUAGUUUAGAGUGUCUUUGGAUUGGAUAAUUAGAAUUCUUGUAAUUCAAAUGCUUAAAUUGAAUUUAUUUUAAAUGUUUGUUUGGAUAGAGUAUUUAAACUAUUCCUUUGAAUAAAAUAAGACCAAUUUGCAAAUUUUAAAAAUUUAUGGGAGUAGCUUUGCAAUUUUUGAAAAUUAAUAUGGACCAAUAAUUUGCAAAAUUUAAAAAACAUAGCUACCUAAGGACCAAUUUGCAAAAUAUAAAUAAGGAGUAAUGCGUAAAUUUUUUAAACAUAUAAAGACCAUUUCGAGAUGAUUUUUUUUCUUUCUAAUUUACCUCUUGAUAAUUUGAAGGUAUUUACCUAUCAAUCAAUGAAAACAAACUAUAUGCAUACUCGGUAACAAUUUUGUGGUAUUUGAAAUUCCCCAAAUUUAAUUUUGAGAUUAACCUUUAUUUAAAGUAAAGGCCUAUUAUCUUUCAAAAGUGGUACGUACCACUCUUUUUUUCUUCGUUUAACAAUAUUUUUGAAAAAAAUAUCCAAACAUUAUUGUUGAGGAAUAUUUCAAUUGUAUUGAGAGCUAAAAGUCUCAUGCACAUGAAUAGUUUAGAGAACAAUUCAACGGUGUAUUUAAUCUUAAUAACAAAGAAUAAUUUAUUUUGCGCAUCUCAUUACGAAGUUGUUUUGUGUCAUUGUAUUGAGGCUCAUAUCCUAGGACACAUUCAUACAAACAUACGGGAAAGGAUUGAGUGCAGCAACUAUACGUUGACUCAUUGAUAUUAGUCGUCAGAUUUAAAUUAAUGGAUGAGAUGUAUUGAUAAUAGAUUGAUCAUUAGGGAUGACAAUAAGUAGGAUAUGAUACAAUACUCAUUUCUAUACCUGCGAUUAAAAAAAUUACAUGUGUGCCUAUACCCAUACCCGUGUGGGUAAAAAAGCUUUGUACCCGUGUUCAUGCCAUAUGAGUACCUAAGUACUCCCGUACCCGCAAUUUUGCUAAAAAUAAAUCGAUCAGUUAUUCAAUAUUAUAUAUAUCAUUUUAAUAAAAUUAUAUUUUUUUCAACGAUUUUAGUGUUAACUCAUGAAAACUAUAAACAAAAUUAUUAAUAAUCUCUUGCUAAAGUUCAUAUCUUUAUUGACAUAUUCCCAUUUUGUUUGCAUUAUGUUAUAAAUAAAUAUAUUUAUUAAAAUUGUGUAAUAGUUUAAUAGUAUUUUAUUUUGUAAAAUUGAUAUACACAAUGUAUUAUUAUAUAAUAAUAUAAUAACUAUAUGAAUUUAAUUUAUAUAUUGCACCGUCGGUGUAAAGUUAUUUUAUACAUGCGUCCAAUAAUAUAUCGACACAUCAUGUAUGAUAUUUAAAAACACAUGAUGUGUCACAUUUAUUAAAUGAUAUGGCAACGCUUCAUUAGAUGUAUGUGUAAAAAAUCUUUACACUGACUGUGUACAACAAUUAAACUCCAAAUAUAUAUUAUGUGGGUAUGGCGCGGGGUGAGUACUAAGGUUCCGCACACUCGCUUGUUUUUGUGAGUAAUUAUUCAUACUCGUGUCCGUACCCAAAGUGCAGGUUUUUACCGUACCUAUUGUAAAUAUUUUUUGCGGGUACUCACUGAAUAUAUGUCAAAUUAUCAUCCCUAUUGAUCAUCAUCGUCCGAUCUAAAAUCAAUGGCUGCAAUCUAAAACAGUGGAAAACUAUGUCAAAAAUAACAGCAAUGGAUCUGAAUCCCCCCAGAUAUAUAUAUAUAUAUAUAUGACCAAAAAAUUAAUUUAUUCGUUUCAAUCAUGCAUCGACCAAAAUUCAUCAUAGGAGAUUGGAAAAAGAAUGAGGAAUAUGCUGACUAAGGAUGAAGANNNNNNNNNNNNNNNNNNNNNNNNNNNNNNNNNNNNNNNNNNNNNNNNNNNNNNNNNNNGGGGAUAGGGGCAUAUCUUUAAUUAUGUUUCCCACUUUUAAUGAUGAAGUCAAGGCAAGUGGUUGAUGUGGAAUAGGGAUGGUGCCCAUGAAUAUGUUGGUUGGAGCCCCUCAUGCUGCAUGGUUUGGGAGAAAUAUUUAGUGGUUAAGGGUGUGGUGGGUGUGUGAUUAUGCUUGUAUCUUACCAAGACAACCAAUGGGACACACACUAUAUGUUGAAAAUAAAAUGGUCAUUUCGUUUUAUCUAUAGGAUUAAUGGAGUGUCUUUAUGGUAAGAUGGAUCUUUCAACCAAUCAUUGUUUUAUUAUGUAAAUACAAUGCACUAUGCUUAGCUCUCUGAUUUUGAGAGGAAAUAAUGGUCUUAGUCAAAACAAGAUACAUGCAUGAUUCCAUUACAAGAGAUAUAUGUACAAAUGAAAGAUUUUCUUUUACUCUUGUGAUUUUUGGUGCACAAUGGAUGAUGCAUCUCGAAUUUCAUUCAUUAAAAAUUGUCAUAUUAUAUUAUUUUACAUAAAUUAAGAAGAUAAAAAAUGAAAGAAAUACAAUAAUUAUUUUACCAAAUUAAUUUUAUUAAUCAUUUAUGUAUUCCUAUUAUCAUCAAUAAACAGCGAAGAAUAAUAACUUGAAAAUGUUGCACAUUAUAUUAUACUACUAACUAGAUAGUACUAUUUGAAAAAUAAUAAUUAAAAUUACAUUUAAAACUAAAAGUGACAACAAUUUAUAAUUUUUUUCUUUAAAUGUGACAAUUAUUAUAGGACACACAACGAGUAAUUUUUUUGAUAGGUCAAAUAGUAAUUUAUUAACAUGUUCAUGUCUUAACCGAAUCAAAUCAAAAUUGCCAGUUGAUUAAAAAAAAUCUCGAGAUGCUUAUAUUAACUCUUAUUGAAUUUCCUUUCAUAAAAAUCGCACAGAUUUGAUUGAAUUUCUGGAUUUUUUUCAAAAAUGAAUUAAACUAUUUAAGCAUUCCAUUUAAAGAAAUUUUUUAUUCAAAAAGUUAAACACUACAAUUUCCAAUGCGUUGACUUUACGCAUUUCGAUAAAAAUUCUAUAAAAAGUUUACUAUUUAAGGGCUUAAAGAGUGCCCCGAGGGCACUAUUUAACAUUUGCCUAAUUUUUUUCAUUAGUAUGAGAUAUUGUGUUAAUAUAUAUGUUGGUUUUUGUUUUAAAAAUAAUACUUAAUAGUUUAACUUAAUUUAUUUAUUUUACGAAUAUUUGUUAGUUUAAUUAAAUGCGAUUUUUUGAGAGUCAUUCAAAUUAAGCCUCGUUUGAUUUUAAGCAUUAUAUGAGAUGCUUUUUUCCUUUAAAAUCAAUUUAAACUGCACCAUGAUCACUCAUUUCGGGAUAAAACUAUCAAAAGAGCGUAGUUUUUCAUCUUUUUUACCAAAUAAGUGUAGAUUUUAAACAAAUUAUACAAAUGUGGUAAAGACAUCGCCGCCACCAACAACUUACUCAUGUAUUCUUGACACAUGACUAGUAAAAUAUUGUACCUCUAAUUGUCUGCUUAAGGAGCCCGAGACUCAUUAGAAUAUUACUUAAAGAACCAAAAUUUCUUUUCGUAGAUUUCUUAAAGAAUAUUUUAAAAAUAUUUAUAAAAAUAUUUACAUGUAUAAAUUUAUAACCUACUAGAGUACUAGACCCAAAACAUACUCCAAACAUAACAUACAUUUUAUUGCUUACAAUUGGAGUCACCUCUAAGCCUACAAUUGAUUGCUUUGACGGAGACAACGGACAUUUGGGCAUAAUUAUGUUUUCAUAUUUGACUAAAUGCUCGAAAAUUCAGAAUCAUGUUCCCAGAUUUAUUUACAAAGACUUCAACUAAUCUACCAAAAUUCAAAAGACUUGAUCAAAAUAAAAUAUAUAGUCAAAAUACAUCCCCCCAAACACAGCAAAAUCUAUCCUAGCUACAUUUCUUUCCCCCAAGUACGUACUACUUUAUGAAAAAAA
rnacentral:lncRNA from 1 species